AACUGCCUGGAUAAAAGAUUAAUUAACAGUUUAAUCUGCAUAAAUUCACCUUGAGCCUUUGAGGAGCCAGGACUGCAAGAAUCCCAAAGGCUUCCUCACGUUGAGAGACAUAACAGCAAUGCAGUUUUUACCAAUGUUAAUGGCUCAACUAAGGAAGGAACACUAUGUAUCAUGAAUUUUCAAAAUUCAUUGUCAUUGACUAUAUAUUCUACAGGUCUGGAACUUAUAUAGAAAAGCUGAUACUGAAUUUGGAACAUCACGGAAUUAUAGUGAGGAAGGAACAUAUUGCUGUUGGAUGUGCAUCGUAAUGUAUAAGACUUUGACUUCUGCUACCCUGAGCUGAAGACUGGGUCUACUUCCUUCCUCCACCUCCUGCGAUGGCACUGUGACAUGACCUUUCUCAGAUGUUGGAAAUCCUCUACAUAUGCUAUUUUCAACAACAAUAAUUUCAAGAAAUGUGACCAGCCAGACUGAAAUUGAAAUUUUAUUCAAUGUUUUAAGUUUAACUUAAACUUAAAUAGACAUGCACAACAAUGAAAUCUAUUAAGCAAAUCCAAUGUGCAUUAAAUAGUAAAUCUCUUUGCAUACAAAAGUACACAAAAUGAAUUAGAUUUUUCUGUUAA